UAAUUAAAUAAUAAAAAGGGAUAGUGGGUUAAAUUAAAAGGUCAAAAUGUAUUAGUAUAAAAUGUCAUAAUUUGAUAAUUAUAAUUAGAGAAGUAUAUUAAAAGAAAAAAGAAAACGAAAUAAGAGGGAAAGGGAAAAGAGUGGCUAGUGGAAGUAAAACAGCUAAGGAAAUGUUUUAUGUGCACUUUUCUUAAUAAAAAAUUAGGUGAAAUAUUAAAAUUUGAAGCUUUAGAGUCUAACAGCUCUCUAGAAAAAGAAUCGACCGAACAUAGUUGUUAAAGGCAUGCCCUAGGCACUAGACACUCGAGGCUCAGAUGUUUGUGCCUAGAAACCCUCAAGGUGGUCGAUGUUGUAAAGGCGCACUUAGACACACCAAGGCGCUAAGCGUGUCGUAGUGAGAUUAGCUCCUAGCAAGGGAAAAAAAAAUAGAAGA
rnacentral:misc_RNA from 1 species